CCUACGGGCGGCUGCAGUGAGGCAUAUUGGUCAAUGGGCGGAAGCCUGAACCAGCCAAGUCGCGUGAGGGAUUAAGGCCCUGCGGGUCGUAAACCUCUUUUGCCGGGGAGCAGAGGUCCGGGCGUGUCCGGGCCGGGAGAGUACCCGGAGAAAAAGCAUCGGCUAACGCCGUGCCAGCAGCCGCGGUAAUACGGGGGGUGCGAGCGUUAUCCGGAUUUAUUGGGUUAAAGGGGUGCGUAGGCGGGCAUUUAAGCCGGCGGUCAAAUGUCGGGGCUCAACCCCGGCCUGCCGUCGGAACUGGGUGCCUUGAGUGGGCGAGAAGUAUGCGGAAUGCGUGGUGUAGCGGUGAAAUGCAUAGAUAUCACGCAGAACCCCGAUUGCGAAGGCAGCAUACCGGCGCCCUACUGACGCUGAGGCACGAAAGUGCGGGUAUCGAACAGGAUUAGAUACCCCUGUAGUC
rnacentral:rRNA from 1 species